AUAUCCUAAAAGUUAUAUCUAUUUUAUUCUUUCAGGAGAAAAGAAGUGUGAAAACUCACCUUAUAUUUGCAGCAUGUUCCAAGAUAUGUCCUAGCAUCCUUCGUCCAAAAAAUAUGCAUUGCCUGUCUACUAUGAGCUGAACACCAACAAGUGAUUGAGACCCAAUUAGUCAUGACAAAUUCAUACAUGCACAGCCCCUGAAUGAACAGUUUGAACAGCAGCAAAAAGCACAAAAAUUCCAGAAUUAGAGGGUACCGACUCCUAUCCUGGCUCUAACAUUUGCUGGCAAAGUGAUCCUGGACAAGUCAUCUCUAACCUAUGUUUCUUCACUUAUAAAGUGUGGGAGGAGUAAGACUCACCUGAGAGGGCUGCUAUGAGAAAUCCAUCCAACAAAAUAAUGUAUAUGAAAGUGUUUAGCUAGGAAGUGGGUGAAAGGCAGUAGGUUGUUCUGGAGUUGCUCACAAAGCAUCAGAUAUUCGUGGAAGAUCAUAUGGAGAGAGCUGCUCAUAUAACAUCCUUAGUGUGCUAUUAAACAUUUUAUAUCUGAAGUAAAAUAAAUUGUUCUUAAAUCACUCAA